rnacentral:lncRNA from 1 species
GCAAGGCUUUGAAGUUCCAAUCAGUUAAGGGUAAGCCGGAUUUUAGAAAGUGAGAAAGGAAAGGAAAAUUGUUGUGUAUUCGGCAUGUGAAAAAGGCCAGAACUAGUCGGAUAAAUAACCUAGCGAAAACCAUAAAAAGAGAGCAAAAAAUUCCAAACUAGGCUUCCACAACUUUGAAGUAGCCAGAAUGAAGACCAAUUGUUCCCAUGGCAGAGCUGCCUGUUUGCGGUGAAAAAACAGUCAGAAAGUGUGGAGUGGAAAGAGCUUAAAUAUUCUUCAAGAAAGAGAUUAGAAUAACUGCAGUGGAAAGUAGCUGGAGCUGUGCUGAGAGCUUAUAAAGCUUACCUUAGAUAAGCCAAGUUGCUUUCAGCUUUGGUGUGCGCGAGCCCCUCAGUUUGUCGACCCAUCUGUACCUCCUGCACUGACAAACGCAUUAGCUGGAACCACCCGCUAAAAUGUUUCACGAACUAAUCCGCUGCGUCAACAGAUAAGUGAAAUAUCGAAAGUACAUUCGACACGCCCAAGUAAUAAUUGCCAUCAGCAGGCCAAAGUGCCAAAAAUGAUUUAGGGUUAUUUUUUAUUCUGUUCAAAUUACAAAUUAUCACCUUGGCUUGCUUUUGCUUCUCUCUUUUUUAUAUCCUCCUUCGAUAUUUGCUAAUUAGGGGGCCAGCGAAGAAAUGUGUCAG